rnacentral:lncRNA from 10 species
CUGGGAUCAAGAAAUCCUCCUGCCUUGGCUUCCCAAGGUGCUGGGAUUACAGAUGUGAGCCUGGUCUGUGAAUUUGAAUGGGGAAAAAUCCGACCUUUAUUCUCAAAUGGCCUCUGAUGUGACUGCAUUCCUCUAAUUCAUUCAAUUGCGGAUAUAAGGAAGAAGCCACAUUCAUAGUUGCAGGGCCUGUGACUUUGUCACCAACAGAAUUCACAGG